ACAAACUUUGGAAGGGGGGGGCUCUGCACUAGGUCUCAUUUUGUGUGGCUUGGUAGGUUAAAUAACAGUCAGCUGAUAGCAGAGCUGUUCCUAUUUAAAAAGAAGCCAGCAUAUGGUAACCUGGACAGCCAAAAUUGGACACAGCAUUAGAACAUAAGGAUGUGAGGGUCUCUUUAGAAAAAGAUGGUCUUCAGAGAAAUGCAUGAACCUUUUUAGAUAAGGUUUUCUGCUUCCAAAGGAGGAGACAAGAAUUGAGCUCAAACUACCUCUACUCCAUGAGUGGCUUUCUUAGAGAUGCUGUGCAUCGCGUCUGUGAAGAUAUUUUUGCCAGCUGUAUGGUGAUGGGGUUCCAUCCAUCAAGACUCAUUCCAUCCAGGAAAAAGAAAUACACUGAAAGCACAAAUACCACAAGCUGCUGGACAGACCCAAAACACCAUGACUUCAAUGGAACAUUCAGAUGUUCAGCACUGCGAUGCUGUCUGAUUGAGAAUGACCCUUUGUAUCAUUGUUCUACAGAUGCAACAAAUCUUAUACAAAGUAUAUCAUGUAAAGUGUCAAUGAAAAAGUUACAGUCUAUCAAAUAUCAUUAUGCUGGUUAAAUCCAUGUAUCAUCACUCUAGCUGAAGUUUUGAAUAUUAGCUAUAUAUCUGUAACUCAAAUGUGUUUAUUCCUGAAGUAACACCUAGAAGGUAGUUUACAUCCAGUCUUCCCAGCCCAUUGUGAAUGGCCUAUUCAAGAUUGAUUAAGAAGAAUCAGUUUUCCAGACACCUCUUCCUGUGGAUGCAUCAGCAAGAAUAUGGCCAACGGCUGCCCCUCUGAGUCUUUAAAGCAUGUAAGGACACGUGAUGUGCUCAUGUGACUCCUGGACUCCAUUUUAGCUCAAUAACUUUUCCACAAACAGAGAUGGUAAAUUUCCAGGCACAUGGCAAAGGAUAUAAAAGGCCCCCGAGGUUUUUCCACUUUGCCUCUUUCCUGCCCUGAUUUACAACUAAAAGGGGCCUUUUGAACUAUGGACUGAGGACCUUCCAAUCUUUUGGAAGUUACCAGAGAGACUUUACAAGCUAGCAGACUAUUCCAUCACUGCUACAAACCUGAUAUAAGGACUUUGCAAUUAUUUGUAUGCAUAUGAUCUGUUAACCAUUUAUAAUUCUCUCCUUUUUGCAUUUUAUUAUUAAACCUUUAGAUUUU